GACGAACGCUGGCGGCGUGCUUAACACAUGCAAGUCGAACGGUGAAGCGCCUUCCUUUUUGGUGGGUGUGGAUGAGUGGCGAACGGGUGAGUAACACGUGAGUAACCUGCCCCCUUCUUCUGGAUAACCGCAUGAAAGUGUGGCUAAUACGGGAUAUUCUGGGUCUGUCGCAUGAUGGGUCUGGGAAAGAUAUUGUUUCGGUGGGGGAUGGGCUCGCGGCCUAUCAGCUUGUUGGUGGGGUGAUGGCCUACCAAGGCGGUGACGGGUAGCCGGCCUGAGAGGGUGGACGGUCACACUGGGACUGAGACACGGCCCAGACUCCUACGGGAGGCAGCAGUGGGGAAUAGUGCACAAUGGGCGCAAGCCUGAUGCAGCGACGCCGCGUGAGGGGUGGAGGCCUGCGGGUUGUGAACCUCUUUCGCCAGUGAAGCAGGCCUGCCUCGUUUGUGGGUGGGUUGACGGUAGCUGGAUAAGAAGCGCCGGCUAACUACGUG
rnacentral:rRNA from 1 species